GUCAAUCUAAUGUUAGCUAGCUCAUUAGCUACCUGUGCUCCUGCUUAACAUGAGGUAAUAGUCAAUCUAAUGUUAGCUAGCUCAUUAGCUACCUGUGCUCCUGCUUAACAUGAGGUAAUAGUCAGUCUAAUGUUAGCUAGCUCAUUAGCUACCUGUGCUCUUGCUUAACAUGAGGUAAUAGUCAAUCUAAUGUUAGCUAGUUCAUUAGCUACCUGUUUUCCUGCUUAACAUGAGGUAAUAGUCAAUCUAAUGUUAGCUAGCUCAUUAGCUACCUUUGCUCUUGCUUAACAUGAGGUAAUAGUCAAUCUAAUGUUAGCUAGUUCAUUAGCUAACUGUUUUCCUGCUUAACAUGAGGUAAUAGUCAAUCUAAUGUUAGCUAGUUCAUUAGCUACCUGUGCUGUGGGUUUUCUUAAUAUAAGAGUUAACAUAGCUUACUAGUCUCCUGUGCCACUGCUAAUGUUUAACCUAUUGUUAGCUAGCUUACUAGCUACCUGUGCUGCUGCUUUACACAAGUAGGACAGGUAGCUAGUUAACCAAAGUUAAUCUAGUGUUAACUAGCUGACUAUCAAUGCUGUGGAUUUACUCAAUAUAAUGUUUAACCUAAUAUUAGCUAGCUUACUAGCCACCUAUGCUACUGGUGUACCAAUGUAAUAGUUAGCCUAGUGCUAGCUAGCUUACUAGUCCUUGGUUUUAAGUAAUGCUCUGCUAGCAAUAGAUAGCAGUUUGAGCAGGUCAAAUAAAUACUGCUGGAGAUGGAAAAGUAGCUAAGCUAAGACUACAUAGCUGGCAACAUUAGCAUAAUGCGAUGUUUUUGUAGCUGGCUAGCUUAGCUAAUAUUGCUAAAUAGGCACUUGUUUUGGUCUUUAUUUAUUAUUUCUGUAACGCCAACUGUGUUUUCUCAGCAGACUGUUUAUUUAUUUAUUUUUCAUUUUAUUUCACCAGCCAUGUUCAUCAGCAAAGCAUAGACUGUAAACAAAGAUUCACGUCACUUUUCAGUCUGAUUAUUACCAGAUUAUUAUUAUUAUCCUGCUAAUUUGUGGUAAGCUCGCCUAAGUGAAAGUAAACUAGCGAGUGAAAGCAAGCCAGCAAGUUGAAGACGACUAAUAAAUGAAGGCAAGCUAGCAAGUAAACCUUGAGUGAAAGCAAACUAGCGGGUCGAAAAUAAACUAGUGAGUGAAAAACGUUAGCAACUAAAAUCAAUCGAGCGAGUAAAAUCAACCUACUGAGUGAAGGUAAACUAACAAAUAAUAGCAAGCUAGCAAGUCAAAACAUCCUAAUCGGUGAAAGCGAACAAACACAAAAACUGGCGAGUAAAAGGAACUAGUGAGUGAAAGCAAAGUAGCAACUAGCAAGCGAAAGCAAAUCAGUAAACUAUUAACAGCAAACUCGUGAGCAAAAGCAAACUAGCGAGUGAAAUUAAACUAGCAAAUAAAUGCAAAUUAGUGAGUGAAAGGCAAAACUAGCAAGUCGAAGCAAACUAGCGAGUGAAACUGAGUAGCGAGUGAAGCGCAAACUAGCGACUGAAAGCGGGACUACCGAGUGAGAGUAUAUAACCAUCCUCAUUCUUGCAUGGCUUUUUAGAAUAUUAAGCCACGCCCAUUUGCAGAGUUGGUGGGUGUGAUCAGUGAGGGGUGUACAGUAGGUGCGGCGCAGCGUGCAGUGAGACAGCAAAAUAAAAUACCGUAUUAGAUCUGAUCGUGGCGUUAGCUAUACAGUGUUGUGACAUCACUCCGACGUCUUUCAUCCUCCACGCUGUGUUUAUUCUCGUUUAUUUCCGUGUGAAGUUUGAUUUUAUCGCAGCGUUCGAGUGUUGGAGCUGUACACUGGAUAAUCAGCUUAGUUACUGAUCACUGGCUCUUUAUUCAUUCCUCUGGUGACGCCUCUGUUCCUCCGCACUGACACACACACACACUCUCUCUCUUUCAGUGUGUGUUUAAUUGGUCAUUCUCUGUGUGUGUGUGUGUGUGUGUGUACAUUUGUAUGCAGACACGUCUGUUUCUUUAAAGCAUAUGCCUUUAAGGCAGCGCAAGGUUAUUCUCUAAUCUUUUAGUCACAGAUCUCGCUCUAUCUCUG
ensembl:lncRNA